GCCUGUGACGGGGAGCAGGGAGUUAAAGCAGAGCGUCAGUAUGACAGCGUGUAAAACAGCGAGGGGAGAAGAGCACCGACUUCUGCUGGCGUGACAGACGGACGUGUGAGAAAAGACGGACGUGACACGGUGAAUAUAAGGAUGAGGGAAUGACAGAUUUCCUCUCGCCACGUCGUCCUGGAGAGUGUCGUUCCGCCGUGACGCGGCGCCGGACCCUUACCUGAAGUCGUAGAAGUCGGCGAACUCCAGAGCGGUGUCUCCGUCGGUGAAGAGCUUGCAGUGGCUCUUGUCGCUCAUGUGGGCCUGCACCGCCUCGGUGGAGUAGAAGGACCGGCCCUUCUCAUUGCACCAGAGACACACCUUCCCCACCCCCACCUUCUCCCCUGGGACAGGAGACAGAAGGCACCCAAUUAAGGAGCAUAAACACAAUUAUGCAGAAGGACACAGGUCUGCUGCUUCACUUCACUCUAGCGUCCAAUUAUUCAACGAAAGGGCAAAGCGCUAAAGUGCACGCGAGGUAUAGCCUUAUGCAUUUGUGGCAUUGUGUGAUCCCAACAACUAAAUCGAGGUGAUCGUGCGCUCCUUCAGCUAUGUCCUCUCCUUUGAUGUAAUGGAUGGAAGGUUGUUGAUAAGAGAGAUAUUCUUAAUUCCUGGACAAAUAAAUAUAAUUUAGGCCAAGCAA